GUAGGUGAACCUGCGGAAGGAUCAUUAAUAAGUUGAACCCACUCCCCUCGUUGGGAAGGUUACUUGUCCACGUAUUAGCAGCCCAUCAAGCUUCCGAAAGGGAGAUGUAAGCUGGAUCGUCCAUUAACGUGGUCGUCUCACGGGACGGCCGGCUUCAGUGCGAGCGUUGUGGUCACGGUUUGCGGCGCCGAUUGUAAGAUCGGCUUGGGAUUAUACUUAAACCCGUGUCUACCUUCUUUGUUUCUUUGGC
rnacentral:misc_RNA from 1 species